CGAAACACACAUAGAGGGAGCCACAAUAAUUCUUGAUUCUCAACAGACGAUGACAGCCACUGCAAUGACUGCCCCAAAAUCUCCAGCCAAAAAGAAGGCCAAACUGUGCAAAGUCACUGGUGCCAGGAAAGCACAUGCGAAGGGUCUGCUGACAGACGCCAUGUGCCGACAGAAGACUCAGCAGGAUGUAUUUAACAUGCAG